rnacentral:rRNA from 1 species
UAUGCCCCUGCUCCUUGCACACACCGCCCGUCAAGCCAUGGAAGCCGGGUGUACCUAAAGUCGGUAACCGUAAGGAGCCGCCUAGGGUAAAACUGGUGACUGGGGCU